rnacentral:rRNA from 1 species
AUGCUAGAUUACUCACAUUUCAUAUCGCUUCCAUUGACCAUCCACCCCGAUCAUGUCGAGAAGCUCAGUAACUUCCAGAGGUUGAUCCUCGGGGUGUCUGCAUCUAAUGUAGAUAGUGAUAAGGAUGAUAUCCUAAGCGAAUGUUCCGUGGAUGAAAUUGAUGAAGCAACGAGCCCUAGUGUUCCAGUCAAGCAGCCAGUCCAAGAAGAAAAGCCUGUCAUAGUGAAAAUGGAUAAUAAAGGCUCUCAACCAGGUCUAAAGCUUUGCUGA